CACCCUGGUGCUCUUUGUGUCUUGUUUACUAGGAGGGCUACGGGAAGGCCAGAGUCCACUGACUCUGGUGUGUCCCUCAAAAGUGAUCAAUCAAAAGCUGGAAUGAUUUUAUUUGAAGACAGCUCCCCUCUCAGCAGGUCUGACUUUUUGUCUUUCGAGGAGGAUGUUGUGUCAGAUGAAGAUUGGAUCAAAUCUUUGGACGACCUGAUGACUAAAAGAAACAAACUGUCCAUAGAGUCCUUUGACUCUGGUGUGUCCUUCAAGAGUAAUUUGUCAAAAGAUGGAUUGAUUGAUUUCAAAGAAGGAGUCUCUCCCAGGUAAG